GAUGAACGCUGGCGGCGUGCCUAAUACAUGCAAGUCGAGCGAACAGACGAGGAGCUUGCUCCUCUGACGUUAGCGGCGGACGGGUGAGUAACACGUGGAUAACCUACCUAUAAGACUGGGAUAACUUCGGGAAACCGGAGCUAAUACCGGAUAAUAUAUUGAACCGCAUGGUUCAAUAGUGAAAGACGGUUUUGCUGUCACUUAUAGAUGGAUCCGCGCCGCAUUAGCUAGUUGGUAAGGUAACGGCUUACCAAGGCAACGAUGCGUAGCCGACCUGAGAGGGUGAUCGGCCACACUGGAACUGAGACACGGUCCAGACUCCUACGGGAGGCAGCAGUAGGGAAUCUUCCGCAAUGGGCGAAAGCUUGACGGAGCAACGCCGCGUGAGUGAUGAAGGGCUUCGGAUCGUAAAACUCUGUUAUUAGGGAAGAACAAAUGUGUAAGUAACGAUGCACGUCUUGACGGUACCUAAUCAGAAAGCCACGGCUAACUACGUGC
rnacentral:rRNA from 1 species